rnacentral:rRNA from 1 species
GGGCGGGACACGUGAUAUCCUGUUUGAAGAUGGGGGGACCAUCCUCCAAGGCUAAAUACUCCUGAUUGACCGAUAGUGAACCAGUACUGUGAAGGAAAGGCGAAAAGAACCCCGGUGAGGGGAGUGAAAUAGAACCUGAAACCUUGUACGUACAAGCAGUGGGAGCCCUUUAAGGGUGACUGCGUACCUUUUGUAUAAUGGGUCAGCGACUUAUAUUUUGUAGCGAGGUUAACCGAAUAGGGGAGCCGAAGGGAAACCGAGUCUUAACUGGGCGUUUAGUUGCAAGGUAUAGACCCGAAACCCGGUGAUCUAGCCAUGGGCAGGUUGAAGGUUGGGUAACACUAACUGGAGGACCGAACCGACUAAUGUUGAAAAAUUAGCGGAUGACUUGUGGCUGGGGGUGAAAGGCCAAUCAAACCGGGAGAUAGCUGGUUCUCCCCGAAAUCUAUUUAGGUAGAGCCUUGAGCGGACACCUUCGGGGGUAGAGCACUGUUUCGGCUAGGGGUCCAUCCCGGAUUACCAACCCGAUGCAAACUACGAAUACCGAAGAGUGAUACUCAGGAGACACACGGCGGGUGCUAACGUCCGUCGUGGAGAGGGAAACAACCCAGACCGCCAGCUAAGGUCCCAAAGUCUAUAUUAAGUGGGAAACGAAGUGGGAAGGCUUAGACAGCUAGGAUGUUGGCUUAGAAGCAGCCAUCAUUUAAAGAAAGCGUAAUAGCUCACUAGUCGAGUCGGCCUGCGCGGAAGAUGUAACGGGGCUCAAAUAUAGCACCGAAGCUGCGGCAUCAGUA